CCGUCAUUGAGGAGGAGAGCACACGAGAUGAGGUCAGAGGAGGAAGGCGAGAUCACGCAGGUCUCGGAGACCAGGCCAGGAGCUGGAUUGAUGACACUACAAUGAUGGCUAAUGUGCCAAUAUCCAUAGGAACCUGUAUCCAGGAUCACUGUACCUGUGAAUAAAGUGCAGCUGCUCCAAGUAGACACAGCCUUUUGAAAUAUCUACACACAGGUCUACAAGGUCAACCAAGGUUGGAAUCAUGCUGGAAAUUUUAAGAAAAUACUGAUUUCUGGGUCCCACCUCCAGAGAUUCUGACUGAACUGGCCUGAGGGGAAACCUGGAUGAAGAGAUUUUAAGAGCUCCAGUGUGCACGAGGUUGAGAACCAUGCCUUUGGUGCAUGUUAAUCAAUGUGAAGACAAGAUACAUGAGCUCUCAUAGCCAUGUCCAGUGCCACAGCCCAGCCUUCGUCAGCCAAAUGAUCCAAGCUGCCUCUGAAACAACUCUCUUUAGAAAUGUGUAAAAAAGAUAAAAACAGACAAAAUAAAGGAAUAAGAACCAGCUGUA